UGUGCUUCAUCUCAGUUACCAUUUGGAGCCCAGAGCUUUGCUGGGCUUGGUUAAUGUUUGAUCUCAAGCCAAAUCCCUUUGUACCAGAGCACCUUCCUCAGUUCACAGGAGGCCUUCUGCCUGCAGAGGAGUUGCAGAAGAACACAAGAGUCACAAGGUGCCCAGAGAACACAAAGUGUGGUGCAGGAGGGGCUCUUCAGCUGGCAGCUUGGUGAUGUGGUAAAGCCGGUGAGGAGGAGGAGGGUGCCAGAUGCUCCACGCAUUCCCCUGUGCCUCAGCUGCCGACUAUCCUGUGGAAUCUGGAUGUCCCAGAGGACAAGAGUGAGAACAUCCCUGGGGAUACCCCGCCCCAGACUGGCCCUGGGCACGGCUCUGCCCCACACUGGUUUGAAGAUCCCUGGGAUUUAGUCUUGGAGAAAAAAAGUAAGAG